rnacentral:rRNA from 1 species
UGAAUACGAGACGCUAAGGCGUCGAAGUAGUGUAUGUCAUACUUCCAAGAAAAGCUUGCACUGUCUUAAGUAAAAAAUGCCUGUACCAUAACCGACACAGGUGGGUAGGUAGAGUAUACUAAGGGGCGCGAGAUAACUCUCUCUAAGGAACUCGGCAAAAUAACUCCGUAACUUCGGGAGAAGGAGUACCUUAUUCUAUAAGGUUGCAAUAACAAGAUCCAAGCAACUGUUUAUCAAAAACACAGGUCUCCGCCAAGUCGUAAGACGAUGUAUGGGGGCUGACGCCUGCCCAGUGCCAGAAGGUUAAAGAAGUCGGUUAGCAUUAGCGAAGCUGGUAACUGAAGCCCUGGUGAACGGCGGCCGUAACUAUAACGGUCCUAAGGUAGCGAAAUUCCUUGUCGGGUAAGUUCCGACCCGCACGAAAGGCGUAAUGAUUUGGAUACUGUCUCGGAGAGGGGCUCGGUGAAAUAGACUUGUCUGUGAAGAUGCGGACUACCUGCACCAGGACAGAAAGACCCUAUGAAGCUUUACUGUAACUUGAAAUUGAAAUUGGACUUUAUUCGCGCAGUAUAGGUGGGAGGUGUUGAUUAUAAUCUUGCGGGAUUAUUGGAGCCAUCAGUGAGAUACCACUCUUGUAAUGUUGGAUUUCUAACUUUGAAUCAUUAUCUGGUCAAAGGACAGUUUCAGGCGGGCAGUUUGACUGGGGCGGUCGCCUCCCAAACGGUAACGGAGGCGUACAAAGGUUUCCUCUGAACGGGUAGAAAUCGUAUCUAGAGUGUAAAGGCAUAAGGAAGCUUGACUGUGAGACCUACAAGUCGAACAGGGACGAAAGUCGGUCUUAGUGAUCUGACGGUACUGAGUGGAAAGGCCGUCACUCAACGGAUAAAAGUUACUCUAAGGAUAACAGGCUGAUCUCCCCCAAGAGUUCACAUCGACGGGGAGGUUUGGCACCUCGAUGUCGGCUCAUCGCAUCCUGGGGCGGUAGUACGUCCCAAGGGUUGGGCUGUUCGCCCAUGUAAGCGGUACGCGAGCUGGGUUCAGAACGUCGUGAGACAGUUCGGUCCAUAUCCGGUGUAGGCGUUAGAAUAUUGAGAGGAGCCUUCUUUAGUACGAGAGGACCGAGAAGGACAUACCUCUGGUGUACCAGUUAUCGUGCCAACGGUAAACGCUGGGUAGCUAUGUAUGGAGUGGAUAACCGCUGAAAGCAUCUAAGUGGGAAGCCCACCUCAAGAUAAGUAUUCCCU